rnacentral:rRNA from 1 species
UACAGAGGGUGCAAACGUUGUUCGGAAUUACUGGGCGUAAAGCGUGUGUAGGCGGCCACGUAAGUCGGAUGUGAAAGCCCCAGGCUCAACCUGGGAAGUGCACUCGAUACUGCGUGGCUUGAGUAUCGGAGAGGUUGGUGGAAUUCUCGGUGUAGAGGUGAAAUUCGUAGAUAUCGAGAGGAACACCGGUGGCGAAGGCGGCCAACUGGACGAAUACUGACGCUGAGACACGAAAGCGUGGGGAGCAAACAGG